rnacentral:rRNA from 1 species
UGGGGAAUUUUGGACAAUGGGCGCAAGCCUGAUCCAGCCAUGCCGCGUGCAGGAUGAAGGCCCUCGGGUUGUAAACUGCUUUUGUACGGAACGAAAAAGCUCUCUCUAAUACAGGGGGUGAAUGACGGUACCGUAAGAAUAAGCACCGGCUAACUACGUGCCAGCAGCCGCGGUAAUACGUAGGGUGCAAGCGUUAAUCGGAAUUACUGGGCGUAAAGCGUGCGCAGGCGGUUUUGUAAGACAGGGGUGAAAGUCUGCAGCUUAACUGUAGAAUUGCCUUUGNUACUGCUCAUCUUGAGUGUGGGAGAGGUUGAUGGAAUUCCAGGUGUAGCAGUGAAAUGCGUAGAUAUGCGGAGGAACACCGAUGGCGAAGGCAAUCCCCUGGGCCUGCACUGACGCUCAUGCACGAAAGCGUGGGGAGCAAACA